rnacentral:rRNA from 1 species
CAGUCGCCACGGUAAUACGGAGGGGGCUAGCGUUGUUCGGAAUUACUGGGCGUAAAGCGCACGUAGGCGGCUUGGUAAGUUAGAGGUGAAAGCCCGGAGCUCAACUCCGGAAUUGCCUUUAAGACUGCCGAGCUAGCAGGUGAGAGAGGUAAGUGGAAUUCCGAGUGUAGAGGUGAAAUUCGUAGAUAUUCGGAAGAACACCAGUGGCGAAGGCGGCUUACUGGCUCAUACUGGACGCUGAGGUGCGAAAGCGUGGGGAGCAAACAGGAUUAGAUACCCGGGUAGUCCCUGUCUCUUAUAC